GGAUAAAUGUGUAUUCCUUCCACAAGUGGCCCCUCCCGUAGUCAAUGAUGUUCCAAAUUUACCAUUUUCCAAUGGCGGAAUGAUGACAUCAAGUCAAGUUGCAAAUCAUGUCAAAGAGAGUGAAUAUAUCAAUAUUCAUCAAUCAGCUGAACCUGCUGCAAUUGCACUUGGAAUGAUGUUCAUGAAGAUGAAUAAUGAGUUUAUCGCCAAUGCUCUAGCUCUGCCUGGUACAAUAACCGAACUGGAACGUCUGAAGCCUGAUUCCAUGUAUUCUCGAGUACUCGCACAGUGUCUAGUUAUGUGGGAUUCGAUUGAGCCGACACAUGAUUUUGUGAAGAGUCUGAUACCUCCAGUAAUUAGAGAAUAUGCAACCGCAGCUCUUCACUUUGGAGUUCCGAUUCGUCGUGAUGAAGAUGGAGAAGAGGUUCAUGAAGCAAUCAAUGAUGCUGAGGAAAAGUAUUGGGCAGAAAUUGUAGACAAGGGAACUGUCUCUCAAACAUUCCUUUAUGCUGUUUCGGCUGCUUGCAUGGCUAUUGCUUUGAAAUUUUCAUCGUGUGGAGGACCUAAUGAGAAGAAUAUUGUGAACACUGCAUUCAGAAUUAUUGUGAGUCACAAAUAUUUUAUAUCUUCAUAAUUUUGAUAAUUAAAUUUCAGGAAUACUACACAAAAAUUGUGAUGCCUGAUGGAAAAUCAAACAAAGACAUGGGAAGUAUCCGAAUGUGUAUCUACAGUGGCGCCUAUACACGAACAAGUUGCCUGUCGAUGCUUAUUACGGCUAUGGCAAUU
rnacentral:sRNA from 1 species